GUCGUGAGAUGUUGGGUUAAGUCCCGCAACGAGCGCAACCCUUGUCCCUAGUUGCUACGCAAGGGCACUCUAGGGAGACUGCCGGUGACAAACCGGAGGAAGGUGGGGAUGACGUCAAGUCCUCAUGGCCCUUAUGGGUAGGGCUUCACACGUCAUACAAUGGCCGGUACAGAGGGUUGCCAAGCCGCGAGGCGGAGCCAAUCCCAGAAAGCCGGUCGUAGUCCGGAUUGCAGUCUGCAACUCGACUGCAUGAAGUCGGAAUCGCUAGUAAUCGCGGAUCAGCAUGUCGCGGUGAAUACGUUCCCGGGUCUUGUACACACCGCCCGUCACACCAUGGGAGUGGGGUGCACCAGAAGUAGGUAGGCUAACCGCAAGGAGGCCGCUUACCACGGUACGCUUCAUGACUGGGGUGAAGUCGUAACAAGGUAGCCGUAUCGGAAGGUGCGGCUGGAUCACCUCCUUUCUCGGAAGCAGCAAGCCUCUGUCAGCGUCAAGCUGCCGGACGGCUCGCCAACCUCUUCCAAGUGCCCACGCUUAUCGGUUGUUGCCGCCUCGAAGUCGGGGCGGCGAUGUAAUGCCGGAAACGGGCCUGUAGCUCAGUUGGUUAGAGCACCGUCUUGAUAAGGCGGGGGUCGAUGGUUCGAAUCCAUCCAGACCCACCAACGAUUCGUGACGCUGUGGGGCCGUGAAAGCUGGGGGCGGGUCGCAGCGCUGGGGCUGUAGCUCAGUUGGGAGAGCGCCUGCUUUGCAAGCAGGAGGUCAUCGGUUCGAUCCCGUUCAGCUCCACCAAUAAAGGAAAGAGGCAUCCUGGAAAUCGCGUCAUUCUCAAAGUUCAUAGGCAAGUCGCAUGGCUUACUUCUGAUCUUUGAUCGGACCGAGAAAGUUCGGUUGUUCUUUAACAAAACGGAAGAAGUAAAGCGCACACGACGGAGUAUCGUCGUGUGUUGGGUUAGAUUGUAUCGACCCGUCCCUCUCGAGUUCGGGGGGAACGGGUAUCGCAAACAACCGUGAUGCGAGCGAAGCAGUGCUCAGCGUUAUGGGAUCAAGCGACUAAGUGCAUGUGGUGGAUGCCUUGGCGAUCACAGGCGAUGAAGGACGUGGCAGCCUGCGUUAAGCCCCGGGGAGCUGGCAAACGAGCUUUGAUCCGGGGAUGU
rnacentral:sRNA from 1 species